rnacentral:rRNA from 1 species
UCAUAUGCUUGUCUCAAAGAUUAAGCCAUGCAUGUCUAAGUAUAAAUUGCUUAUACUAUGAAACUGCGAAUGGCUCAUUAAAUCAGUUGUAGUUUAUUUGAUGAUCCAAAUCUACUCGGAUAACUGUAGUAAUUCUACAGCUAAUACGUGCUUCAAGUCCCAACUUCUGGAAGGGACGUGGUUAUAAGACGUAAGGCCAACCGGGCUCUGCCCGAUUUGAGUUGAACCAUUAUAAGUCCACGAAUCGCAUAGCCUCGUGCUGGCGAUGUUUCAUUCAAAC